rnacentral:rRNA from 1 species
AUGGAGGAUGUGAUCUACGAGGGUGGGCAAGGCCGUGCCUACGACCCCGACGAGACCCAAAGUCAGGUUGGCCACGCCCAGUACGUUCCCGAUGAAGAGGCUGAUGACCGUGCUGACUACGACCAUGGUGACUCGUGGCAUGAAGAUGAUGACAUCUAUUGCGAAGGUGAUGGUGAUGAAGAAGAAAACAAUGACAUUGAUAUUGGUGGCGAGCCAUUAUUCAUCGACGAACUCACCCAAAGAGCGAAAGCACAAAAGAGGAGGAAGAGCAUCCGCACGGGUUCAUAUACACAAGAUGAGGACAAAUUGAUUUGCCAAUGUUGGAUGGAGAUUAGCCAAGAUCCGAAGACCGACACGCAACAAGAGGGCCUUGUUUUUUGGACGAGAGUCCACAAAACAUUCCAUGAAAGGAAGAUGUUUGAGCCCUACCAAAUGACAAGCAACCGUGGCAUCACCUCGAUUCAAAAGAGGUGGUUGUUCAUCCAACAAGAGUGUAACAAGUAUUGCGCCGCAUUUGAGAGCGUUGAAGCACGGCCCGUGAGUGGUCUCGGCAUUGGGGACAUGGUAUGA